rnacentral:rRNA from 1 species
ACCCACUCCCGGCACGGGGAGGUAGUGACGAAAAAUAACAAUACGGGACUCUACCGAGGCCUCGUAAUUGGAAUGAGUACAACUUAAAAUCCUUAACGAGGAUCUAUUGGAGGGCAAGUCUGGUGCCAGCAGCCGCGGUAAUUCCAGCUCCAAUAGCGUAUAUUAAAGUUGUUGCGGUUAAAAAGCUCGUAGUUGRAUUUCAGUUCUGGACAAGCACGGGUCCGCCAUAACACUGGUGGACUGCUGACUUGCCCGGUGCAAAACCGCCCGGCUUCCCCCAUGGUGCUCUUCACCGAGUGUCAUGGGUGGCCGACACGUUUACUUUGAGAAAACCAGAGUGCUUAAAGCAGGCGCAAGACGCCCGAAUGACUGUGCAUGGAAUAAUGGAAGAGGAUCUCGCUUCUGUCUUUGUUGGUUCCUCAGAAGGCGAGAUAAUGAUUAAUAGAAGCAGUCGGGGGCAUUCGUAUUGCGACGUUAGAGGUGAAAUUCUUGGAUCGUCGCACGACGAACUACUGCGAUAGCAUUUGCCAAGAAUGUCUUCGUUAAUCAGAACGAAAGUUAGAGGUUCGAAGGCGAUCAGAUACCGCCCUAGUUCUAACCAUAAACGAUGCCAACUGGCGAUCUGGCCUAGUUACUCGCACGACUGGCCAGGCAGCCUUCGGGAAACCAAAGUCUUUGGGUUCCGGGGGAAGUAUGGUUGCAAAGCUGAAACUUAAAGGAAUUGACGGAAGGGCACCACCAGGAGUGGAGCCUGCGGCUUAAUUUGACUCAACACGGGAAACCUCACCAGGCCCGGACACCAAAAGGAUUGACAGAUUGAGAGCUCUUUCUUGAUUUGGUGGGUGGUGGUGCAUGGCCGUUCUUAGUUGGUGGAGCGAUUUGUCUGGUUAAUUCCGAUAACGAACGAGACUCUAGCCUGUUAACUAGCCGGUGGAUCAAUAUUAUGUAUGCGGUGAAGCCGCGUUGCUCCCUUAAUGGGGAUGCAUCCGGCAUAGUCGCGUCCACCGAGUCUUCUUWAGAGGGACAGGCGGCUCAUAGCCGCACGAGACGGAGCAAUAACAGGUCUGUGAUGCCCUUAGAUGUCCUGGGCCGCACGCGCGCUACACUGAAGGAGUCAGCGUGCACUCCCAGCCCGAGAGGGCCGGGUAACCCGCUGAAAUUCCUUCGUGAUUGGGAUCGGGGUUUGCAACUAUCCCCCGUGAACGAGGAAUUCCCAGUAAGCGCGAGUCAUGAGCUCGCGUUGAUUACGUCCCUGCCCUUUGUACACACCGCCCGUCGCUACUACCGAUUGAAUGAUUUAGUGAGGCCUUUGGACUGGCUCGCCGGUGCGUGUCAUUCGUGGCUUCGUGCUGGUUAUCGGGUCGGGAAGCUGGCC